rnacentral:rRNA from 1 species
AACGAACGCUGGCGGCAGGCCUAACACAUGCAAGUCGAACGAACCUUCGGGUGAGUGGCGCACGGGUGAGUAACGCGUGGAAAUAUACACUUAGGUAAGGAAUAACUGCUGGAAACGGUAGCUAAUACCUUAUAAUGACUCCGGUCCAAAGAUUUAUCGCCUAAGAAUUAGUCCGCGUAAGAUUAGAUAGUUGGUGAGGUAAUGGCUCACCAAGUCGACGAUCUUUAGGGGGUCUGAGAGGAUGAUCCCCCACACUGGUACUGAGACACGGACCAG